rnacentral:misc_RNA from 1 species
GUCCGAUCCUCCCGAGUUGCACGCGGUCAUAUUCCCGCUUCUCAAAGGCUAUAUACCCUUCCAAGCUUAAACGUAAAACCCCCUCUCUUUUCUUGUUCUUCUCAAGUCCCAAAAAUGUCUUCACCGUCACCACCGCCGCCGGAAGUGGUGGUGAAGAAUCGAUUUUUAGGGUUUCUGAUAUGGCAAUCCAUUACCUCUUCCGCCAUCUUCAUCCUCUUCAAAACCUUACUUCUCUCACCGCUCACCAACACUAAUUUAGCAUCACCGUCACUCCUCUCCCUUUUUGCUUUCUUAAUUUUUCACCUCUCCCAGCUCUUCUUCUCUGCUUCACUCGCUCUACUCUCAUCUCCUCAGCCCUAUUCCCUUGCUUCCCCAUUGCAGCUCGCCGUCUCCCUCCUCCGUUUCCUUUUCGUCUCCGAUGACCUUUUCUCGUCCCGUGAUUUCCACCGCCAGGCUAACCUUUAUCUUAGUUUCUUUCUGGCGGCGGCUUCCAUCUCGGGAUUUCUCUCGGUGAUUUGCGUAUGCGGCUGGGCCAACGACGGUUAUGAUGGAGUGCAGCUGAUUGGAAGAAUUGGGCUUAGAGGUUUUGCUUUUGGAUUGCUUUAUGCCUGCUUUUAUAUUUAUAAACAGCGAUGGGUUUUGGAGUUUCCCAUUAUUCAGAGGCCCCCUUUCUUCAGCAUCAAAGUGAGGCUUCCUUUGGCCAUUGAACAAGCUUUAAAGCUCUCAAGUACAGCUUACGUAUUUUCAGCAGUGCUGCUUGUGUUUCUUCCAAAUCAGUUUAAGAGUUAUGUGACAAUAAAGAAGUUUAUCACUGAGCAGAUCAUCCUGUAUUCUGGGAGCCUUUCUGUGUUCCUCAGUUGGGAAAUAAGUCACCAUUUACAUCAGGUGCUACAUACGAAAAUAUUCAUAUUUGCACCACCAAAAGGAUCAGCAGCUGCAGAAACAAAUCCCAGUGAGCCUCUCCUAGCAGCUUUGGAGGAGAGCAGCCCAGGUUCUCUUCCACAGUUUCUUGCAUAUCUUGAUCUCUGCAUGGUUUGUGAAAAUAAUGUUGAUACUUGGCGGCGAGCUGCAUUUUUUGAAGAAACUGGUGAGACUUACAAAAGAGUUGUAGCUGUAUGCUUGAGGCCGCUGGAGCAGCUUGCUUCUACUUUGGGUAAAGGCCUUCAAACUCAUUCUGUUGAUAAGGCUUACCAACAAUCGAAUCAGUUCCAGUCGCAAACUGAUUUACAACAAGACCCAAAGUAUUGCAAAUCCCUGAACAACUUCCAGCAAUGUGCAUGGUGUGCCAGGACAGUUGCCUUCUUAACUGCACGCUCACACAAGGAAGAUAGGUAUGGGGUUGCUCAACUGUCUGGUAGUAAUGCUGCUGUUACUUCGACACUUUUAUCUUGCCUGCUUGCUGUUGAAGCAUUCAUGGGGAAGAAGACGAAUGUGCAGACCCCACAUCAGUUGAUGGGGCCGGGGGGUAUUAAAUGGGCUACUCUAAACACAGGAAGACGAGAUACUGUGGUGGCUAAAAAAAGAAGUGGCCCAGUACAUUCAAAGGCAUAUGCCGUGGCUGAUGUGCUUAAGACCUCAAUUUACUGUAUUAUAUCAGCUUUCCAUGAUGAAAUGCUCACUAGUGACAAAGCAGGCCUUCUUGAAAAGGAUUGGCUCAUUGGUGGCAAGCCACUUUUUGGAACCCGUGAACUGCUCCUGCAGAAAUUGCGUCUUUUCUUGGAUUUUAGAGCUAGCUAGCCAAUCGCUUCCUUGGGUUCAGAGCUAUCUUCCUAUUUUAGGCUAUGCAAGCAAUGGGAUGUUAUGGAGUUCAGUGGCGAAAUGAUUUGUUCAAAUAUUUAGUUGGAUCAAAUGGUGAGAAUAUAAUGUCAACUGGUGUGUUGAGACGAUGAAAUAGGGUGGAGGAUGGUUUAACUGCUUGAAGAGAGAUUUUGGUGUACCAAUUAUACAAACAACUGUAGUUUGGAUUUUUUUUUUUUAAUACAUUUGGAUUUUCCAAUGUUGUAGAACGUUGAUCAAGCUGCCAAUGUGACCAUGAGGAUUGUUCAUAAUCUGAAUUUGGAUUUCAACCAAUGUGGAUGCUAUUUGAUGGCAUUUGAGAUUUUCUUGUGUUUUUGAGUAAUGAGACAUCUUAGCGAGCAAAACAGACAGUGCAAUUGAUUUCGGAUAAAGAUUGGUAAAAAAAAUCAAGCUGUUAAAUCAUAUCAAAGGAAGUGAGGGAUGCAUUUGCAGCUUAAACAGAGGGAAAUCAAAUACAUCUAGUCUCUCGAGCCUACCUGCUUCAAUUUUUGUGCUGUUCUUGCUGCCUGAUACCCUCCAAAUUCCGUAUGAAACAGAGUGAACUAAGAAUAAGGCAUUUGCCCUUGAUAUUAAUAAUCUGGAAAGUUGAGUAUUUCCUGAUAUCAUUCAUGAUUGAAGAAAUGGACACAAGAUCCUUGUUCAGUACAGACCCACCAACAAUCCACUUUAUGCAGUCCUAGAGCCUAGUAUAACAGGAGCUGCAGCCCUCAAGAUCUCCCAUACCCCACAUAAGAAGUUGCUGAAAGAAGUGAUAACUGAUAACAUCUUCAUGCACCAGCUCUAUUGCAGCUUUCCAUCUACUUGCAAAGUCAGCUUUCCAUCGUCUCAACUUCAGCAGCAGUUAUGGGCUUCUCAGAACUUGAAUUUGGAUCCUCCGCUGAUCAGAACUCACAAAAAAAGGUCAUCUCCUUAAAUAAUUUUAAGUUCUAUCUAGAUAACAAAACUUUUAUAUGAGAGGAUCACUUGUAUUUGAAUUUUCUUCAAUAAGUAGGUUUUCUCUGUUUAGUAGAUCCAUGAAAGUGGAAGAAACUUAUCUCAAACUUAAAAUUGUCAAUCUCAAAUUCCAUUUCCAAACACAAAUUAAGAGCUGCUUGUGUUCAAUUUCAUCCCCAAAAUAAUGUGGAAUUUUGUGUACUUCACUUGAAUAAAAUUAGAUUUCAAUUCUAGAAAUUGAUUAUAAAUAAAAUCAAUUUCCUAUUAAAUUUGAUAGAAUAUGAAAUUAAUUAUAUAAAACUUAUAUAACAACGUUUUUUACUAAAAUGCUUUUAUCCAAAAAUUUUCUCUCAAUCAUUAAUCUUCUUAUAUGCUCAAAUUUUAAAUUAUUUAGUUUGAAACUUUGAUUGCAGAUGUAAUCAAUAAGAAUUUAUUACACUCAAUAUAUACCAUUAAUUAAUUUAAAAAAUAAAAAAUAACUUUAAUCAUGUAGAAAAUUAUGAUUUGAUCACUAAUGUGAUU